rnacentral:lncRNA from 1 species
GUGGUGGCUUAAAGGAGGAUUUCUUUUAUGGAGGAGAUCUAGGAUUUUGGCAGCCCUAGAUCUCCAUUUUUCCUGAUGGAAUUGGAGAGGAAGAAGACUCCUUCGGGGAGUCUUCCUUCCUCCGUUCAUUCAUCUGGCUGGGACCUGGCCGGUCAAGUAAACUGGGACGAGUCCAGUCUAUUUCAUUAAUAAUAUUUUAUUUCAUC